UGGUACAACAUAUCCCGCCUCCUCCCCCGUCUGUGUGCCUCCACAUUCCUCUGCAUUAAAAGUGUACAUACCUUUAUGUCUCAAACGUCAUGUGUGUGUAGACACACUGUCGUUAAUGAAAAACAAAAAUAAGCUCUUUUUGUUUUGCCUCUGUUACUUAAUCUGUGGGGAUGCAGGGGCAGGGGAAGCGGGAGAACGGCUGUGCUGCAGGGCCUGGGCAGCAGCCAAUCAGGGAGCGGGAUUAGCUGGAGGCAGGCAUAAACACGGGUUGUUGCUGUUGGUAACAGAGAUCUGAUUGGCUGCUUGGAGUUCUUGCUCAAUGGGAUAGGUGUUUUAACGUGUGGGUAUUUUGAUCACUGUUAUGAGCAUGUUUAUGUGCUGUUAUGUUCCUUAAUAACCUUGUUAUUCCCCCUCUUUUGUUUUUUUUUAUAAAGAGAACCGGGGGACUCUGCAGGCCACUCGGUGAGUGCAUGAUAAAACCUCUGAGCACUGCAACGUCUCCUGAACUUUGAACACCGGUAGUUGUUGCUUGAUAGAGGAAAGUUCGUAUCGGACGUAAACACGCAGAGCAGCACAGAGGGCUGGACGUCCAGUAAAACCACAUGUGACGUCCCAGCGGAGUUCGCUGACUGCACAAAGCACCUGCUCCUGUUUUGCCCCGCUGACAGACCUUUGCAUCACUUCCAUUUUGUGACCUCGGGUUCAAGAGGCUGUGUUUUUCUGCAGCUGCUGCCCCCGAGCAGAAGACCACAUGUGUGUUUGGGUGUUGUUUGGUGCUGCUGGGCACCUGUUCCAGGUUCCUUUACCGUCACUAGGUUGUUGUCAUCCUUUAUCUCUGUGGACACGGACGCAGACGCCAAACACUUCGCUAUCUGCCACAUCAUAAAAUAAAACAAAACGCACACAUGAAAAUGAAAAGCUUUUAAUCUUCACAGAUGAUUUGUGAUUGUAAGUGUUUGACACACGUGACCUGCAGCUGCUCUCGUGUGCAGCGUCGCCUGCAGAGUAAGUGCGCUGUGUGUGUGUUUUUUUUGUUGUUGUGUGUUUGCGUGUGUGAGUGACAGACACACACAGCCAUGUGCUACCUGCCACACAGGAUGCAGCUGCAGCGAGACGUAAACAGAGUCUGUGCGCGUCGCGUCGAGCUGCUCAUUUUCUCAAAACAGUGGCUCUUUGUCGGCUUUGUUCGUCGCCCUGUCUUAAUUGCGCGACCCUCUUCAGCCGAGCGCUCCCUCAGGCCUGCACCGAGCUAAUCUAAUCACUAAUCUUUGAUUACGUUUUCCCUUUGUGUUCGCCGAGGACCCAGCGCAAUCACGUUUGCCUAAUCACUGGAAAACAGGGAUGCGGGGAAUGAGCCGCCCUCGGUCCAUAUCAGCUUUAGGACAGCUGCUCAUCCCUUGAUCUCCUGUAGGAUACGUCCACGUCUGUCCACUACGUCUUGCUUAAGGCCUCAGAAACAUGGAAAACACAGCGGGAGAAAUCACCUCAGUCCGUCUGAGCUCGAUUUAAAGCUCAGGCUUUAUUCCUGAGUCGGGCUCCAGAGCGGCUCCUUUGUCCUAGUAAAGGGACUAGGGAACCUCCGCGUCUCUGCUCCGGCUUGGACCCAACAAGGGUCCGUAGGUCUCCG
ensembl:lncRNA